rnacentral:lncRNA from 1 species
AACCUUGUUUUUAAAAAAAAAUCUCUUAGUUCUCUCUUCUUCCCACUUGAGUAGUUCUCUCACUCGAACUUAUCUACACUUCUCAUGACCCGAGAGACACAAACACAAGUAUCCUCACUAGCCGAUAGAAAUAAGCAUCCUCGUACAAGGUACAAAUACUCUCUAGUCCAAUGUUCCUCUAGUUUUGUUUAUCAUUAUAUGUUCUUGUGCUAGAUGCCUAGAUUGUUUACCUUUUAAUCAUUUGUUAAGUAGUUGAACCUGAAAUUCAAAAUGCUUUGUUAUAAAUCCAGUUUCUUUUAUAUAUAUUGUUGUCUUGACUUCAACUAUGUGUGUAUAAACUGAUUUUUUUGGCUACAUAUGUGUCCUUUAAAUAAACUGAAUUAUUUAUUUAGCUAGAUAAAAAAAUAUAUGUUGUGUCUAACAAAACAUAGAAUGAAGUUUUCAUUUAUUUUUUUGCUGAAAAAACAAAAAAUGAAUGGGUUUUUACUGUAAACUAUCUUUAUUUUUUAUUUUUAUGUAAAUUGAAUUAUGCAUGUGCCAAAAUUGAGAAACGGAGAAAACGAUUGUAAUGAAAACUGAAUUUAGCUAACUAAUUUUGCAGAUGGGUUUGAAGGUGAAUCGUCAAAACAAGCCUUUGGGAUUAUGUCUAGCGUUUUCCAUCUUCUACUUCGUGAAGUUGACCAGAGUGUAUGUAGUCGGCGUUUUUACUCUGAUAAAAGAUAACAUCCGUACGUCGAUGUGAUGUGGAUGAAAGUGGAGAAUGUAUGUAUGUGUAUAUAUGCUACAUAGACUGCAUAUAUGUAUGUAUAGUUUGUAUAGGUGAUAGAUGUGAAUGCAUAGAUGGAUGAAUAGGCUACAUAGGCCGCAUAGAUGUAUGUAUAUGUGUAUAUGUAUGUGAAUUCAUAGAUGUAUGAUUAGGCUACAUAGAUGUAUGAAUAGGCUGCAUAGGCGUAUGAAUAGGCUACAUAUAUGUAU